UGCUCAUUUACUUUUAGCACUAUUAAGACACGAUCUCCUUAUUUAUGCAUCCCCCGAAGGCACUGGCGCCUGGGAGCCAGGCCCUUGACCUCAGCCUUGUCACAAAGAGUGAACCUGGCCAGAUGAAGCAAAGGGAGUGAAAACCAGCCCAUAUUAAAGGCUUUUUUACUCUACGUAACCCAGGCUGCAAUGUGAGCUCCAGUAUGAGAGCAAAGCCUGCUCCCCAGUCCUGUCACUGCUGGUGCCCAGGGGAUGGGGGACAUGGCAGCAGUGCCAGCCUGGACCUGCCAGGACCAGGGCAGGGUGUCCUCCCAUCUGUAUAGCUCUGCAACACUGGGCAUGGCAAAAUGUACCCAAAAUCCUGAGAAAAUUCAGAUUUUGGGAAAGGACCCAGCAGCAACAAACACUGGGAAGGUCUCAUGGUCUCCUCCACAGUCUCAGACACAGACCUGGGGAUGGAGUCAAGAAAUCUGCAACAGCAGAGCUCUGCUCUUUUCUGCUUGGACAGAGCCCAGAAGUAUUGCUUUCAAGUUGGACAGUGAUAAAACACUUGGUGGCAGUGCCCUGCCUGCAGCCAGCUGCCAGAGCCAGCCUGGCACUGCUCACAUGCGAGUCACUUGGUGCUUUCCCCUUCUCUGCCCAGCUCAAGGAGGGGCAGAUAAAGAAUUCCAACGUUUCUUUGAAUUGACAACUUUCUGCAUGGCAUAUGGGGAAGCAAAUCUCAGCAGAGGCUGUUUUACUUCUUGUAGCACAACCUUGUGCAGCAGAACAGAAUUGGGCAAGAGAAAUUUGGGUUCUGCCCAGUGGCAGGGCAAAGGGGAAUAUCCAGGGGAGCCUUUAAGGAUCGUUUUAUCUCUUGGUAGCACAGCUGGGACUUGGAAAACAAAGAGACCAACCAAGCAGGGAAAGGACAGGCUUCCAACCCUUUUUAGUGCUUUGCUAUCCCUGCACAACCAACCACCAGCUCCACUCUGCCCUGUACAAAACACUGCACGAGAGAAAUCCUGC
rnacentral:lncRNA from 1 species